CGUAGGGUGCAGGCGUUAAUCGGAAUUACUGGGCGUAAAGCGUGCGCAGGCGGCCUCUUAAGUCAGAUGUGAAAUCCCCGGGCUUAACCUGGGAACUGCGUUUGAAACUGGGAGGCUAGAGUGUGGAAGAGGGGGGUGGAAUUCCAGGUGUAGCAGUGAAAUGCGUAGAGAUCUGGAGGAACACCGAUGGCGAAGGCAGCCCCCUGGGCUGACACUGACGCUCAUGCACGAAAGCGUGGGGAGCAAACAGGAUUAGAUACCCUGGUAGUCCACGCCCUAAACGAUGUCAACUGGUUGUCGGGGAAGUUAUUCCUUGGUAACGAAGCUAACGCGUGAAGUUGACCGCCUGGGGAGUACGGCCGCAAGGUUA
rnacentral:rRNA from 1 species